rnacentral:lncRNA from 1 species
UCAGGAUCAACACAACAAACCUUGAUUCCAUAAAGGGAAACUUGUUCCGCAAGGCGAAUGCCUGCGGGGCCAGCACCGAUUAUAAUCACAUCAAAAUGAGAACGAUCAGAAGGUUGGAACCAUGGAAGGUCGAAAUCUAAGGAUUCGGGUUGAUACUCGGGUUUUAAGUCAAGGAAAUUCCCAAACUUGCUUGUGCUUUGGAUCUUGCUACUAGUUUUUCUUGAAGUUGGAAGUGAUAUUGUUUGAUGGGUUUUGAGGAGAGGGAUUAUUGAAGGUGUGAAUUGGUUGUGUGUUUUGGUUGGAGGUGGUGGAGAAAUUAACAUAAGACGAGUGCCCAUGUUUUGCGGAAGGGUGUUUUUUUGUUUUUGUUUUGUGAUUGUGAGCUGAUUGAAGAGGAAGCUAAUUUAAUGUUUGGUUUUUGGUAAUAAUACUAAUAAUAAUAAAGGAUAAAGAAUAAAGAGAGUUUGGUGAUGGGGAAGAUGUGCAUGGAGACAAAGAGGAAUCAUAAACUGAAAGCACCAAAAUGAUGCUUUCGUUUCGUUUUUCUCAACCAAUUUUGGCGCAUGUUUUAAAUUUGGAUUUGCUGAUUUUUUUAGCAAUAAUAAUAGAUCAUUUCUAAUAAAUGAAUUUCACAUGUACCUGUACAUUUAAAUUUUAAAUUUAUAGUUAAAUCAAUUUUAAAAAAAAUUAUUUUUUAUCAUUUAUAUAAUUAUAAUAACUAAAUAUUACCUAUUAAAAAUAUCAAUGAAAUAAAAUUUAAUUUUUAUGAAUUUUUUAUUUUUUUAUAAUAGUGAAUAUUAAAUAUAUUGAUGAUAAAAUGUAAAAAAUUAUAUAAUAUUUAUAGACAACGAAAUGAUGUAUUUAUUCCAUAAAGGGAAACUUGUUCCGCAAGGCGAAUGCCUGCGGGGCCAGCACCGAUUAUAAUCACAUCAAAAUGAGAACGAUCAGAAGGUUGGAACCAUGGAAGGUCGAAAUCUAAGGAUUCGGGUUGAUACUCGGGUUUUAAGUCAAGGAAAUUCCCAAACUUGCUUGUGCUUUGGAUCUUGCUACUAGUUUUUCUUGAAGUUGGAAGUGAUAUUGUUUGAUGGGUUUUGAGGAGAGGGAUUAUUGAAGGUGUGAAUUGGUUGUGUGUUUUGGUUGGAGGUGGUGGAGAAAUUAACAUAAGACGAGUGCCCAUGUUUUGCGGAAGGGUGUUUUUUUGUUUUUGUUUUGUGAUUGUGAGCUGAUUGAAGAGGAAGCUAAUUUAAUGUUUGGUUUUUGGUAAUAAUACUAAUAAUAAUAAAGGAUAAAGAAUAAAGAGAGUUUGGUGAUGGGGAAGAUGUGCAUGGAGACAAAGAGGAAUCAUAAACUGAAAGCACCAAAAUGAUGCUUUCGUUUCGUUUUUC